CCCUUAGACGUUCUGGGCCGCACGCGCGUUACACUGACCAGUGCAACAAGCAUCCGUCCUUGGCCGACAGGCCCGGGCAAUCUUUGAACGCUGGUCGUGAUGGGGAUAGACUUUUGCAAUUUUUGGUCUUCAACGAGGAAUUCCUAGUAAACGCAAGUCAUCAACUUGCAUUGAUUACGUCCCUGCCCUUUGUACACACCGCCCGUCGCACCUACCGAUUGAAUGGUCCGGUGAAGCCUCCGGAUUGGCGCGCACCUCGGUGCCGCCGAGAAGUUGGCUAAACCUUACCAUUUAGAGGAAGGUGAAGUCGUANCA
rnacentral:rRNA from 1 species